rnacentral:rRNA from 1 species
UGGGGAAUUUUGCACAAUGGGGGAAACCCUGAUGCAGCGACGCCGCGUGAUUUAGAAGGCCUUCGGGUUGUAAAAAUCUUUUCUAUGGGAAGAAAAUGACAGUACCAUAGGAAUAAGGACCGGCUAAUUACGUGCCAGCAGCCGCGGUAAUACGUAAGGUCCGAGCGUUGUCCGGAAUCAUUGGGCGUAAAGGGUACGUAGGCGGGUAAGCAAGUUAGAAGUGAAAUCCUAUAGCUCAACUAUAGUAAGCUUUUAAAACUGCUCAUCUUGAGGUAUGGAAGGGAAAGUGGAAUUACUAGUGUAGCGGUGAAAUUCGCAGAUAUUAGGAGGAAUACCGGUGGCGAAGGCGACUUUCUGGCCAUAACCUGACGCUGAGGUACGAAAGCGUGGGUAGCAAACAGG